CCCGUUGCAGUCCUUGGGAGAGGUUCACACCCUGUCCAAAAAAAACGAACUCUCACCACACGCCUUUCGUCCCUGGCGCGCCUGGUAACCACCAGCGAUUUAAAGCAGGAGCACCUCACCUCUUUUUUAAAUCCAAGGAAGAAGCGAAGCGGUCUGCCUGAGCUCCAAAAUGGGAAAGCUUGGAAGUAGGACUCAGGUGCCCUUCACAGCUCCUGUUUCCUCGUGUCUCUGAUCAGUGUGAGCUCCUUGAGGGCAGAGAUUGUGCCUGGCUUCACGCCUUUCUCCAGUACGCAGCAGGUCAUGAUAUAUAAUAAGGCCCAACGCUUGUUGAGCCUAGAUCUUCAGGAGCAGAGCCUGUUGUACCUGGAAGCAAUUUGCCCCCAAAUCAUUUGGAAGGAAACAAGAUGCCUCUUGACUUCUCUAGACACUUGGCAGAAGCAGCAGGAGACUUCCUGGUGGCACAGUGAAUAAAAACCCACCUGCCGAU